rnacentral:rRNA from 1 species
GGGCCCGCACAAGCGGUGGAGCAUGUGGUUUAAUUCGAUGAUACGCGAGGAACCUUACCAGGGCUUAAAUGUAGUCUGACAGCUUUAGAGAUAGAGUUUUCUUCGGACAGAUUACAAGGUGCUGCAUGGUUGUCGUCAGCUCGUGCCGUGAGGUGUCAGGUUAAGUCCUAUAACGAGCGCAACCCCUGUCGUUAGUUGCCAGCAUGUCAUGAUGGGGACUCUAACGAGACUGCCGGUGCAAACCGCGAGGAAGGUGGGGAUGACGUCAAGUCAUCAUGCCCCUUAUGUCCAGGGCUGCACGCAUGCUACAAUGGCAAGUACAACGAGUCGCAAUACCGCGAGGUGGAGCAAA